GGAAUCACACGAAACCGGUUUGGUUUGUUAAUGAGCACAACUCAAUGCGCUAGUGGGAUACCGAGUUUGGUGCCUUUCCACUUUGAUAUUCUCAGCUUUUAACUGAUCGGUGAACGCUCAGUUGCGUUCGAAAAGAAACCACGAUCGGUCCGCUUAGUGGAUAGAUGAAUCAUCGAAUUUGUCUGUAACUCAGUUCAGAAGUUUAAUCUUGAAAUGUGAUGUUCUGCAAUUUUUUAGGAUGCAGUUUUUCCUAUAAUUUGCACCAUGAACGCUAUAAAUCCAGCUCCCAUGUUUACAGCGUAACAGUAGUAGGAAUAUAGCUUCCUUGGUGAAAAUUGUAGGGAAACACCACCUCGAAAGUUAGUCGAACAUCACAUUUUAAUACUAGGGGGAUUCACCGCUGCGUAAAUUAAAAUUAUUUGCGUAUUGAUUUUUUUUUUCAUGAAAUUGCGAAUAAAAUAAUCAAAUCCUUGUAGAUCGUGUUGUUUACACCGAAGAUCAUUUACGCUGCGACUCACGCUGUUCAGUUUAUCUCCCUAUGAAGCUUCUGAAAUGAGUUAUUGAUAACAGAGUCAAACGGUGGCCACGUGGUUUAUAACAUUUUUGCGCGAAGUUUAGAAGUUUUCACGGUAAUCGGUUGGUCGGAGUAAGGAAGUCGUCGGUAGUUAUCGAAAAGUGUCAGUGUCGCGAUCGAUUCGCCCAUCACUAUCCGAUUUUUGUUUAAUGGAACAGUGCAUUUCCCGUACAAAAUACGAAAAGAAAAAAAUAUACAGUCGGGUUUCCUAUUAAACGCUGCCACUAACUUUACGUCCACCUUGUAUUCUAGGCUGUCUUAUAACCAAUAUAGUUCAUUUUUUGAAUGUGAUGAGUCUAUAGUAAGCACUAACUGUGCUAAUGGAAUGGAUGUCAGAAAGCUGAGAAGUUGCGGUGGGCGUUAAGUGGGUGGCAGCGUCUAAUGGGAGACUCGACUGUACUUGAAAACGAUUUGUUGGAUUCAAAAGAUGUCUUCGAAGGUUUGUGAGGAUAUUUAAAGUACUGUUAGAAAAAAAAAUACACUAUCAGAAAAGAGUCAACAAUUUCUCAGCUACGGAAUUUUCAUACCGUCUCAAAUAACAUUAAAUAAGGUUAAAAAUUUAUUUAUUUAUUUGCGAUUUGCGAAAUGCCAUCAUACAUCUUCGAUGACAUCAUUUCAAUCCGAUAAACCGUUGUCGAGUUAUAGUUUUUUGAAGAAGAAAAUUAUGUUUGUGCAUAUGUCCUUUUCAAAAGUUAGGUAAAGAAUAUUGCAAAAAUACAACACGAAAAACAUUUUCCGAUAGAAGCUUAUUCGUGAACAAUAUGCCAUUUGAAAUGGAAAAGGCCGCAUGUGCACACGAAUUGCAUGCUCAACAGAAACCACGUCAUCGACCGACAUAGCGGUAGUCAUUCCAGGGAUGUACACGAAAAAAGUUGACACCCUCUCGUUUGUUUUACAAUCUUUUCAAGGUAACAAACUUGAUCCUGUACCAUGUGAUUCAAAAAUGAACGAGGGAUGCCAACUUUUUUCGUAUACAACCCUGCAUUUGAGGCCAUGGAAUAGCCACAUUAUCGUUGUCGCGUUCGUCGCAAUAAAAUCAUCGCUGGUCGGAGAUGAUCAUUACCCGAGGUGCCCACUCCCUCCUUCGGUAACAUGAUCUUCUCUCGCUCGGAUCCGGUUAUGUAAAAAUUUUGGAUUCCGGAUUGGAUCAUUAACGUUUUUGUCGUCGUUUGGGGAACAUGGUCCAAAACGCCAACGUGGAAUAAAACAACGCAGUACUCGGCCCAAAUGUAUUAUUAUCACAGUCGAAUUUUGCACAUGCACAUCCCAAGUAACCACAAGCAUUAUAUCAUAACAUUAAAGACGAACGGGACGAUCGAGGAAAUAUCAACCAUUGCUCUGUAGCUACUAAGAUGGUAAUAUCAGAUUAAACUUUAUAUUUUGCAACAAAAACUUAUCAUUGUGAAUGCGCACUUGCAGUGUGUAUGCUGAUUGUUUUUCAGCAUCUUCAGUGCGAUAGAACUCGAGACUACCAUCUUCAAAAUCACGAGGCAAAUUAUUAGAAAGAGAGGCAAGAUAGGAAAAAUAACACGGCGUCUCGUUUCACCUUAAUUCAAUCGUAUAAUAGUUUAGCUAAUGCAAGAUAACUUUUAUUUUACAUCUGUCAAGUAAUAAAGCGUAUAAUCUACAUUAUGAAAGCAUUGAAGCAUUACGAGAUUUUGACAGUUCUGUAAAGUUCUAUAGGGCCGUUGUUUAAUUCUUCAUUGCAUUACCAUGUUAAAAGCUUUAUAGUAAUCAAUAAUGCAAGCAUUUAUUACUUUAUAUUAGCCUUUACUAAAGCUUCCAUCGUUGUAAACAGAAAAAUACGGCAGCCUAUUUAUUGCACCCAUAAACAAAUAGAAACGCUCCAUAGAAAAUCAUAAAUUGCUCCAUAAAGAAAGAACAUAUGUUCCAUGAAAAUGUGAAAUGUUACUCAUAAAUAAUUGAAAACGUUCCAUACUUUAUAAAAAAUGUACCGGUAAAACAAAAAAAAUUUUCAUUAAAAGUGAAAUUUUGCACCAAUAAAUAAUACUGAAAUGCUCCAUAAUAAAAUACAAAUGCUCCAUAGAAAAAUGCAAACGCUCCAUAAAAAAUUGAAAUUGUACCCAUAGAAAAUUGAAUAUUGCUCCAUAGAAAAAUUAAAUUGCACCAUAAAAAAAUUUAAAUUGCACCAUAGGAAAUAGAUGAAUUCUCUAUAAGUAUUAUCAAACUGCACCAUAGAAAAUAUGAAUUGCUCCAUGAAAAAUUGAAAAUCCUCCAUAGAUAGCAUAUUGUUAUAAUUUAAUUCGGCAGGGCUGAAUUGCUUUACAUUGCACUGCUUUAGUGGUGCAAAUGUUUAAAGUUAUGGAGAAUUUUCAACUUUUCAUGGAGCAAAUUGUAUUUUAUGUGGUGCAGUUUGCUAAUACUUAUGGAGCAUUCAUAUAUUUUUUAUGGUGCAAUUUCUACUUUUUAUGGUGCAAUUUAAUUUUUCUUUGGAGCAAUAUUCAAUUUUCUAUGGAUACAAUUUCAAUUUUUUAUGGAGCGUUUGCAUUUUUCUAUGGAGCAUUUGUAUUUUAUUAUGGAGCAUUUCAGUAUUAUUUAUUGGUGCAAAAUUUCACUUGUAAUGAGAUUUUUUGUUUUACCGGUACAUUUUUUAUAAAGUAUGGAACGUUUUCAAUUAUUUAUGGGUAAUAUUUCACAUUUUCAUGGAACAUAUGUUCAUUCUUUAUGGAGCGCUUUUUGAUUUUCUAUGGAGCAUUUGCAAUUUGUUAUGGUUGCAUUAACCUUUUGCCGAAGAAUACCCCUCAGUUCGAAAAAAAAAUGUAAAUCAUUUUUAGAAACAGAACCAUUCAGAACAAAAGAUAAACAAAUCAAAAUUUCAUGGAUUGCUGCGUAGCACUUAGAUUAUCAUGCUCAGAUGUUGCUGUUUGAAAAUUUAUAUUAUGUAUGGUUUUUGUGGUUUCUGGUUACGAUAUGAAAACAAUCAGAUGCAGAGGGAACUCAAAUUAUGUGGGGUAUUGGUUUGGGGCCGUUCAUAUACCACGUGGACAGCUUGGAGAGGGGAGUGGGUUAGCAAAAAGUCCACGCUUGUCCAUGGGGAGGAGGGUGGGGGGUUCGUCAAAUGUCCACAUGGACAACAUUGACAUAGAAUUUAGAAAACAAGAAUCUACAAACGAAACAAAUUAUAUCGCAUUAUUGAUAAGGUUCUUUCAUACAUUUUAUUUUAUUAUACAUUGUCUUUUGAUUGUAAGUUGCUUCUUCAAGGAAAUAAAUCAUGGUAUUGGUUCACGGACUAAUUAUUUUAAAUUAUCAGAAUUUCUAAUUACUUAGUUUCUUUCAUCGAAGAAUAUUUUGGAGAUUUCAAAUCGAGUGUAGACCAUGCAAAUGUUGGUGUUUCAGUCAGAAAAAUUUCAUUGAAGUUCAGUAUGGAUUUCUCUAAGUUUCAUAUCAAAUUUUUAAACUAUGUAUGUACUUCAAAGUUUCAAAAUACAUGUAGGGAUUUGCAGGCUUAUCUCAAAAACUUUGAGAUGUUUCUAAUGGAUACAUAUUAAAGUCUAAAAUUCAGCAAUACAAUUUAGUUUUUUUUGUAAGAAUCUAAGAAAUAUAAUCUUAUCUCAACAAAAAUCUAAGAUUUAAAAUUACCUUAUCUCAACAAAACAAUUAGACAAUCAUAUAUUGAACAAACAUAAUAAAAAACACCGUCUUCAACCAGAAGCUGUACAGACUGAACAUUGAACAAUCACUAAUAUUAGGCGAUGGACAUCACACGAAGCACACCUAGUGAAGAAAGUGAAGAAAGUGACGAAAAUGUUUCACCAACUGGAGCGGGAAUCGAACCCAUACACUCACAAACAUUAAGUUGAAUUAAAAACAAUGUUGAAAACUUGUAGGUACCUAUUUUGGCCUAUUUGUUUGUAUUCUAUGUAAAGCUAUAGAAUGUUUGUAUUUUAUAAAGUUUUCUAUUAUCUUUAAGAAUCUAUUUACGAAAAAAAUAAUUUGUUUACGAAGAAAAGAAAAACAAUAUAAAUAAAAAAAACUUCAAAAUUAC